rnacentral:rRNA from 1 species
ACGGGAGGCAGCAGUAGGGAAUCUUCCGCAAUGGACGAAAGUCUGACGGAGCAACGCCGCGUGAGUGAUGAAGGUUUUCGGAUCGUAAACUCUGUUGUUAGGGAAGAACAAGUACCGUUCGAAUAGGGCGGUACCUUGACGGUACCUAACCAGAAAGCCACGGCUAACUACGUGCCAGCAGCCGCGGUAAUACGUAGGUGGCAAGCGUUGUCCGGAAUUAUUGGGCGUAAAGGCCGCAGGCGGUUUCUUAAGUCUGAUGUGAAAGCCCCCGGCUCAACCGGGGAGGGUCAUUGGAAACUGGGGAACUUGAGUGCAGAAGAGGAGAGUGGAAUUCCACGUGUAGCGGUGAAAUGCGUAGAGAUGUGGAGGAACACCAGUGCGAGGCGACUCUCUGGUCUGUACUGACGCUGAGGGCGAAAGCGUGGGGAGCGAACAGGAUUAGAUACCCUGGUAGUCCACGCCGUAAACGAUGAGUGCUAAGUGUUAGGGGUUUCCGCCCUUAGUGCUGCAGCAACGCAUAAGCACUCCGCCUGGGGAGUACGGUCGCAAGACUGAAACUCAAAGGAAUUGACGGGGGCCCGCACAAGCGGUGGAGCAUGUGGUUUAAUUCGAAGCAACGCGAAGAACCUUACCAGGCUUGACAUCCUCUGACAACCUAGAGAUAGGCUCCCCUUCGGGGGCAGAGUGACAGGUGGUGCAUGGUUGUCGUCAGCUCGUGUCGUGAGAUGKUGGGUUAAGUCCCGCAACGAGCGCAACCCUUGAUCUUAGUUGCCAGCAUUCAGUUGGGCACUCUAAGGUGACUGCCGGUGACAAACCGGAGGAAGGUGGGGAUGACGUCAAAUCAUCAUGCCCCUUAUGACCUGGGCUACACACGUGCUACAAUGGCAGAACAAAGGGCAGCGAAGCCGCGAGGCUAAGCCAAUCCCACAAAUCUGUUCUCAGUUCGGAUCGCAGUCUGCAACUC